GUGUGUGUGUGUGGACAUAUACAGGUGUGUGUGUAAGUGUGUGUGUGUGAGUAUGUAUGGGUCAGUGAGGGAGUGACUUGCAGGGCUAGACAUGUGAUUACAAAACAAAAAGGGACAUAUACAGGUUUACACACAAAAAAAACAGGAAACAGAACACAAACACUUAACAAUAAACAACAUAGAGAGCGCUGCGUAUCAGGGCACAUACGGAGCGAGACGUUGGUGCGUAGAUGUUUAUGAUUGUCCUUAUGAAUUAUUGUAGAUAACGGCGGGAAGGGGACGGGGGUCUGUGUAGCGGAGGGAGAGAGUGAGAGUGCAUGUGUAAAAGAGAGGAAAAGGGAGAGAGUUUGUUUAUAUGAGAGGGGGGGCUAAUAUAACCAGGUGGUGAUGUCCUUGCUGCGGUAUAACUGUCCGUUUAUGUAAAGUUUAUCCACUGAGAUGACUGCUUUCUUUCCUUCUGAGAUCAUCUGUUUGCGGAUGGGGAAGAGUUUUUUGCGCCUUUCCAUGAUUUCUUUCGGGUAUUGAUCGUUUAGUCCAUAGUCCGUUCCUUUAAGCUGUUUUCCUUGAUGUUUGACCAGUUCUUUCUGUUUAAAGUGUUCGAAUUUGGCGACAAUCGGGCGGGGUCUGUUGUUGGUGGUGUUUUUCUGUCCUAAACGGUGAACGGGCGAAUAUAUGCUCACUCGCCCGUUUGCAUUGACUUUGUAUGUAAACUCGUCUUUAGCGGAAAAAAAACAGGUCUGGUGUGAACACACCUUAACACAGGGCUUGAAGUUCUCCGGCACGGUGCCGGAUUUCAGGCGCAGGAAUAUUCUGGUGCAGGAAUAUUUUUUCUCGUGAAUAUUUUAUCAUCUUGCUGUAGCAACAGUCAUUUAACCAGUCGUUUUAAAGCAAAGCAAAGUGAAAGUUCCAACUACCAAUGGUGUAUCACACUACUCAAGGUAAACAAGGAGUUCUAGCCAAUUAGAGGCAGAGUAGGGCGGGCCUUAAGUUUUCCACAGUCUCUCAUUCAGUCACGCCACGGACACACCAGACGCGGAACUGAAGCGCAGCGCCCAGCAGCGGAGGCAGUUUUCAAUCAGACUGUCCACAUAGGCUGCUGAGCAGAGCGGCGUGCCUGCAGAGGCUCGCACACUGCAUUGCUUCAGUUCGGCGUCUGGUCUAUCUUUCUGGUCUAAUUUUCCUUUUUUGGUGAACUGUUCAUAUUUCAUCAUUAAAAACCUUGAAAUUGUUAUUCUAGCUUCUUGAUGUGAUACUUGAUUGAUACUCUCAAAGUGCACCAGAUUAAUUCAUUUAGAUGUCAAAUGUUCAAAAUUUUCUUCCGGGGGGGGGGGGCAAGCCCCCGGACGCCUCUAGCCCAGAGAGAGAGGUCCUCGCACCCAGCCCCCAGCGGCGUGACCGGAGGCCCCAGCGAGAGACAGGCAGGGCAUGCCAGCGAGGAGACCCACCCCUCGCAACCCCACCACCCUCUGUUCUGGUUAGAUUGUUGUUGUGGCGGACCUGCUUUAGGUCGCGUCCAGUCCCUGAGGAGGCCGCCGGCCAUCGCGGGCCCAGCCUCCUAAUUAUCAUAUUUUUUUUUCCUUUUUUUUUUUAAAAAGAUAUUUUUUUGGGAAUUUUUGAGCCUUUAAUUGAUAGGACGGGAGAGAGAGAGGGGGAGUGACAUGCAGCAAAGGGCCACAGGCUGGAGUGGAACCCAGGCCGCUGCGACAACAGCCUUGUACAUGGGGCGCCUGCUCUACCACUAAGCCACCGACGCCCCAGGGCUAAUUCUCAUAAUUAAUGCCCUAAUAGUGAUAAUGAUAUUAGCAAUCAAUCUACAGUACAUCACACUAAGAAUUUAGUAAUUUUAUAGCAAUAAUAGUGAUCUAAUAAUGAUAACAAUAAUAAUAAUAUUAAUAAUCAUGAUAAUAGUAUUAAUAAUAUUGAUUAUAAUAAUGAUAAUGACAACAGUAUUAAUAAUAGAAAUGCUAGUGCUAACCAUGCUUAUAUUGAGAAAGAAAAGUAAUUUAUUAAUUGAUUAGAAAAAUGGAUAAACAGGAAAGAGAAAGAGCUAAAUAAAUUAAGUUAAUUAAAAGAAGAAAAAAAAAAUCAAACAAACCAAAGUAAAAUAACCCAUAGAUGAGUUGGGGGGUCCUGGCAGAGCUUUAUGUCUGUAUAAUCUAGCAUUGAGAUAUUGGGUUAGAGGUUGGGGGCAUUGGUGUCACUGGCAAUAGGCGAAGGUGAGGAUGGGGAUGUGUUAGUGUGUGUAUGAAUGCUGGUUUGUGUUUGGCUGGUCUUAUUGAUGAAUGGGGUCCAGUAGCUGUGAAAUGAAUCCAUUUGGUUAUUUUUAAAUGCUAUUUGUCUUUCUAUUGAAAUGUGUUCAGAUAGUAGGUGAUGCCAUUGGGAUGAUGAAAGGUUGUGUCUUCUUUCCAGUUUAAGAGUAUUACCUUCUUAGCUAUUGUUAGGGUGACCAGUAUGGGUUGUUCAUAUUUCAAUGGCGGUUCAACUGAUGUAAGAUCUCCCAGCAGACAAACAGAUGGGGAGACUGGAAUGCUGCUACCUAUGAUUCUAGAUAAUGUACAUGUGAUGUUUGUCCAGAAUGAUUGGAUGGGUGGGCAGAGCCAGAUGGCAUGAAGGUAAUUAUCUGUGGUGUUUGAUGUGCAGUGCGUACAUUUAUCACUGUCUUUGAGUCCCAUUUUGUGUAAUUUAUAUUGUGUGAGGUACAAUCUAUGUAGAAUUUUAUAUUGGAUAAGUUGCAGUUUGGGGUUAUUUGACAUUGAGAAGGUAUUAUUACAGAUGUGCAUCCAGGAGUUGGUUUUUAUGGUAACUGUUAAAUCUCUUUCCCAGUCUUGGACUGGUCAUGGGAGGGUGUUGUCUGUUUUAAUUAAAAGUUUGUAUAAUUUUGCGAAUAUUUUUUUCUGAGAGGUUAUACAUUUGAUUUGAUAGAAUAGUGGAGGUGUGUCCAGGCUAUUAUCUCAUAUGUUGAUUUUACCUUUCAAGCAGUGUUUUAGUUGUGAGUAUUGUAGAAAGGAGUUAUUGCCAAUGCCAUAUUUCUGUUUAAGUUUUUCAAAGGAUAUGAGUGUGCCAUGAUCAAAUAAGUGUUCUAGAUGUGUAAUGCCUGCUUUUUCCAUGAACUGAAUAAUAGUGGUUUAUUUUUAAUUUGGAAUUCAGGAUUGUGCCAGAUUGGUGUAUAUUUGUUUGAGCUUAUGGGGGUUUCCAGUGAUUUGGUUGCAUUUCCACCAAGCUGUCAGAGUCACUGCUAUAAAUGGGUUUUUGAAACAGUUAUGAUGUUUGAUUGAUUGGGUGAGGAAUGGAAGAUCUGAUAAUGAUAAGUCUUGACUAGGGAUGGGUAUUGUUAAGAUUUUAAUGGUACUACUGCUCUUAUCGAUACUGCUUAUUGAUCCGGUAUUUUAACGGUAUUCUUAUAGAUACUUUUUGAGGAAGAAAAAACAAAUUAAGAACAUAAAUUGCUUUAUUUUCUCAAUCCUCAUUAUGCAACAAAAUAGUUUUUUUUAACAAAACAUUUUACUUUUAACAACUUGAAAUGUAAAAUACAUAAAAUAACAGUGUUGUCACGGUACCAAAAUUGGGACCCACAGUACGAUACCAGUGAAAAUAUCACGGUUCUGAGUAGUAUCACGUUACCACAGCAAAAAUUAGGCAGAUGUGCCUUUUGUCAUUUAUAAAAAGAUAAAUCACUUUUCUGUAAUACAUCAAUGAUAUUUCAGUGGAAUAAAUUACUAAUUGACUUAUUCAUACUUCAAAACAGCAUCAAUGGCUACGGUUACAUGAUGGCUUCUCAUUCGGAAUGAAAUAAAUCUGAAUGAAAUCAUUCGGAAUUAAAGUUUUUCCAGGUAGUUUACAUGGGAAAUAUUCAUUCCGAAUGAGGGUUUACAUGGGAGAUCAGUUCAAUUGCCUUUAUUCAGGUCUGCGCAAGGUUUGGGGCAGGGAAGGUUUCUGAUUAGAUAGGGGGCGGGCAGAUGUUAUGUGUUUAUGUUUACCGGAAGAAAACACUGUAGUCCUCGCUCCGGAUAACAAGAUGUUUGACGAUGCCAUUCUUAGUGCGUUUUUCGGGCGUGUUUUGCUUAUAUUCUUGAAGCAGCAGUACGACAACAAUCUUGUUCUGCUAAUACUUCGUCUGUUGAGGAGGAGAAGGGAGGUAGAAGACCGUGCUGUGGCGAAUGGAAACCGGUGAGUGCAACAAGUCCGACUGCUCUAUCUCAGCCUGUUGCUUUGCAGCCCGUUGCUAUGCGCGCUAUAUAUGUCAUAGUGCCAGAAGGGCAAGGAUACGAGCAUGCGCAGAAAGACCGGAAUGAAUUUAAAGAGGAAUGAGUGUAUACAUGCACACAAAAUUCUUUCAUUCGGAAUGACAAACGGAUUAAACCACCCCCUUCAAUCGGAUUUAAUUUUCAAUCGGAAUGACCGUUUUUCAAUCGGAAUGACCGUUUACAUGACCACUUUUAAUCGGAAUGGCCUUUCAUUCCGAUUAAAAGUGGAAUUAAACUGUGCAUGUAAACGUACUGAAUAAGUGAUUAACAUAGAGGGGAUCAAAAUAAAAUAAAUAAAUAAAUAAAAUAAAAAUCAACCAGCCACCCUCCUCCCCUGACAAGUAAAGAACAGUCCCUUCAUGAGUAAAGAACAGUCCUUAAAGUGCGCUCAGGUUUGUGGACCGUUGCCUGCCACAAAGAGAGAAAUGUGAAUGGCUCAUUUCCCCUCUGACACGUCACAUAACUGUGUGCCGCCACGGCUCAGCUGUUCAGGUACUUCUGGACAGUCAUGACAUCAACAAAGAGGAAAAUAUUGGACCUGGAGCCAGGCUUCUCCGUCGCCUGUAAGCAGUACUUGCGCUGCGGAGCACUAUGGCCGCCGUAUUUGACAGGAAUACGUAUUCCUGUCUGUGUCUGUGACCCCCGUUCAACCCGCAACCGAGAGGAUUCACCUGCUACUGGUUGAAAUCUGUACUCGCACAGCGUGCUCCUGAAUGAUUUCUUUUACUUGCACACUAUUUUUAGUCGCAAAUGCAGUAAAAUGCUCGCACCGUACAGCUCUCAAAAAAUUCACCGUAGUAUAUAUAAACAAAUCUAGCCUACAAGUAAAAAUAUUAGGUAUUCUAGGUAUGUUAGGUAUUCUAGGUAUUUUAUAUGGUGAUGUAACAUUAAUCACUAUGGAUAUAUAGACCAGAGGGGGGGAAAUCCCACGCACCCAGCACAGGCUAUAAUUAUGGUUAUAUUCAUGUAUUUAGAAGUAUCUGAAAAAUAAACAAAUAAAAUCCCAAAUCUGAAAUCCUGUUUAGUAAAUAGGAUUGCAAAAUAGCUAAUGGUUACUAACUCCACGUGUUGGCUGCUUGCAUAAUGUUACAAACCUGGACUAAACGUAGAUGAACUAGCUGUGCUGGGCAGUCAAACCCUGUACAUGUUUCUGUCUGAAUAUGAUGCACUUUCGCAAGGUGUUUUGAUAAAUUACUAGUGUUGCCGCCCUUACACGCAAAACAUUUGUCACACUUGUGACAACGCGCUGUCUGCAUCAACUCUUGUAAUGUAAAGCCACAAUUUUCUCUGUUUGGCUCUCUCUGCUAUUGUUAUCUAUCUAAAGGUAGGCUACGAGCUUGAGUGUAUGCGCUGUCUUGUGUGUGUGUGUGUGUGUGUGUGUGUGUGUGUGUGUGACUGGAACAACAGCCCCGCCCCCCUGCUCUCCACUCACACACAGCAGGUGGCCAGGGUGAGCGAGACAGAUCUCUCGUCUUCAGGGAGAAUAGCGAAAAUUAUGAUACGGUGACGGAUAAUUGAUGGAGUUGGUGAGAUAAAUAUGCAAGAUAAGGUUUAUCUUGUAAAAAAAAUUUAAAAAAAAAUAAAACGUGACUGCUCCAGUACCGAUAGCAGAACCGUUAAGGUCAGAGCUUAUCAAUACUGUGGUCUUAAAGAAUGUAGCCCCCAGGGCUCGUUCAGUACCAGGGUUCGGUACCCAUCCCUAGUCUAUGUCCAGCCAGGGGUGUUGUGUAUGAUGAGUUUUUUGCAACCAUAUGGGUAUGUACUGAAGAUGAUUUGCAAGGUGGUAAAAUCUAAAAUUUGGAGCAGCUAGGCCUCCGCGGUCUUUAGGUUUCUGAAGGGUGGAUAGUUUUAUUUGUGUUUUUUUAUAUUUCCAGUAGAAUUUGGUUAUGACAGAGUCUAUUGUGUUAAACCAGCGUGGUGGAGGAUGAGUCGUGUCAUAGAAAAAAGGUAGUUUAUUUUUGGCAUUAUGGUCAUUUUUAUUGCUGCUGUUCUUCCGAUCAGUGAGACUGGUAAGUUGUUCCAGCGAGUGAGGUCUUCUUAAAUGCUUUUUUGUAAUGGUAUGUAAUUUAGAGCAGCGGUUUUCAAAGUGUGAGGCGCGCCUCCCCAGGGGGGCGCCAGAGGACUUCAGGGGAGGCGUGAAAAGAAAGUAAAAAAAGUGUAUCAUCUGGUUAGCUAACUACGGCAAAUGGAUCGAUUUUUAGUACCUCAGGUGAAAGUGAGAGUGGGCACAGAGGCGAGCAGAAAACGGAGGAAGUAUGACCCUGAUUAUUUAAGGUUUGGUUUUUCAUGCAUUGGUCCUGACGUUGCUCCGCUGCCACAGUGUGUUAUUUGCAAAGAGGUGCUAGCUAACGACAGUAUGUGACCAUGUAAACUCCGGCACCACAUUGAAACUAAGCACCACAAUUUAACAACCAAGCCGCGGGAGUUUUUUGAUAGGAAGCUUAAUGAAUUGCGGUCACAGAAGAAGGCCAUCCAGACAUUUGGUACUGUAAAUACCAAGGCAACCGAGGUAUCAUACCACAUAGCGUUACGCAUUGCGAAGGCGGGGAAACCCCACAACAUUGGUGAGACAUUGCUCCUCCCUGCUGCCAAAGAUAUGUGUUCGGUAAUGAUAUGCGAAGCUGCUGCUGCCAAGCUGGAUUCCAUCCCGAUGUCUGACAACACCAUCCAGCACCGCAUCUCCGACAUGGCAGCUGAUGUGAAGGAGCAGGUGCUGGACGCUAUCCGUGAGAGCCCUUUCUUCUCCAUUCAGCUGGACGAGUCCACUGAUGUGGCUAACUGUGCACAGCUAAUGGUGUAUGUGCGCUUUAUUAAAGAGCUCAGUGUCCAGGAGGAGUUUUGCCAUCCUCUGCCGGCGCGCACUACAGCAGCAGAAAUCUUCAAGGCUUUGAAUGACUUCAUUCAGGAGCAUCAUAUUGACUGGAGCUGCUGUUGUGGAAUAUGUACUGAUGGUGCGAGGGCAAUGACAGGCCGCCACAGCGGUCUAGUAAAACAGGUGCAAGCGGUUGCGCCCGCCGCUGUUUGGUCACACUGUAUUAUCCAUCGCCAGGCCUUGGCAACCAAGAGGAUGCCCAAAGAGCUGCGCACGGUCCUGGAUGAGGCAAUAAAAAUUGUAAACCUAAUUAAAUCACGCGCCAUGAAUGCCCGUCUCUUCUCUAUUCUCUGCAAUGAGAUGGGGACUCACUUCCAUCAGCUGCUCCUGCACUCUGAGGUCCGGUGGCUGUCACGGGGCAAGGUCCUCACCCGCUUGUGUGAUCUGCGCGAGGAAGUCCUCCUCUUCCUCGCCGAAAUCGACUCCCCACUGGUGAAGCAUAUGGAGGACGCAAAGUGGGUUGCAAUGCUGGCAUAUCUGUCUGAUAUAAACACACUGAACACUUCUCUGCAAGGCAAAGAGUGCCAUGUCUUUUUGGCACACGAUCAAGUCUCUGCAUUCAGGAAAAAGUUGGACCUCUGGUGCGCUCGUGUUGAACAGGGCUCAGUGGAAAUGUUCCCAACCUUGGAGGAUGUUGUGGAGCAAACAGGACUGCAACUGAACUGUGUACAACAGGUGGUCAUUGCACAUUUGAAGGGGUUGCGUGAGCAGUUUGGAGACCAUUUUGGAGAGGAGACCUUGGCAAAUCAAUGGGUGAGAAAUCCGUUCUGUUUCCCAGUGACACCCCGUGAUGGACUGACCCUGCAAGAGGAGGAGGCCCUUGUCGAGCUGAACUCUAAUAUGGACUUGAAACAAAAGAUGGGUGAAGUGUCACUUGCACACUUCUGGCUGUCUGUGGAGACUGAGUUCCCCCACCUCACCAAAAAGGCUGUAAAAGUGUUCAUCCCCUUCACCUCCACUUACCUGUGUGAGUGUGGAUUUUCCGCAUUGACAACGAUUAAAAGCAAGUACCGGUCACGGCUGCGGGUAGAGGAUGAUCUGCGUUUAUUCCUUUCUACAGCGCAUCCCCGCAUCAACCGCCUGUGCGCAUCAAAGACACAGACUCACUGUUCCCACUAAAAUCGAGGUGAGCAAAUGUGUUGUGUGCAGUGUUUCAACGUUAAUGUGGGAUAACGUCGUUUUUUAACAAAAAGAUGUUUAAAUGUAUUCAAAAUAUGUUUAAAAACACACAAAGGUGUUAAAAUGUGUUUUAAAAAGAUGUUAAAAACAAUGGUGUUAAAAUGUGUUUUAAAAAGAUGUUAAAAACAAAGGUGUUAAAAUGUGUAAAAAAAAAAGAUGUUUAAAAACAUACAAAGAUUGUGUUAAAAAAAUAUUUGAGCACAUUCACAGAUAAAGAUGUUUAAAAUUUUUUAAAAAUAUGUUCAAGAACAUACAAACAUGUUUAAAAAAAAAUAAAGAUGUGUAUGACAUUUAUUCUUGAAACCUUUUUUUUUAAGCCUGCGUGGAACAUACAAAGCAACAUCAAUAACAGUAAUAAAAGUAAUAAUAAUGGGGGGUGGGGGUGCGCGGCUGCUUUUGAGUUCUCUUAGGGGAGGCCCACUAUCCCACACUUUGAAAACCCCUGGUUUAGAGAAAAUAGCUAUGACAGCUUGGUGGAAACAUUGAUACCAAGGUAUUUAAUGUUGCCUGUUUUUAUUGUCAGGGAGGCUUUUUUUUUGGAUGCAGCAUUCCAGUCUCCUUCACAGAGUGGAAGAAUUUUGGAUUUGGACCAGUUUAUGGAGUAAUCAGAAAUUUUUGAGAAUGUGGAAACAAGAUUGAAAACUUCAGGGAGGGUUGUUGAGGGGUUUGGUAAGUACAGUAGGAUAUUGUCUGCAUAUAAACUAAAAUUGUGAAAAUGAUUUGUUUGUACACCAGUAAUGUGAGUACUUUGUCGAAUGGCGGCUGCGAGAGGUUCAGUGAAUAUUGCAAAUAGUAAUGGAGAGGACAUCCUUGUCUUGUGCCCCGUUGUAGUAGAAUACGUUGAGAGGUGAUAUUGUUAGUUAUAACUGAAGCGGACGGGGUGUUGUAAAGAGUUUUGAUCCAGUGAGUGAACGACUCCCCAAAACCAAACUUCUCAAUGGUAGUGAAGAGAAAUGUCCAGUUGACUUUAUCAAAGGCCUUUUCUGCAUCCAAUGAUGUGAUUAUGGUGAUGAGGUGAUUUCUCUGGGAUAGACUGAUAAGGUUGAAUAAACAACGCAUGUUGGUGGAUGAGUGCCUGCCUUUUAUGAAUCCUGUUUGGUCUGGAUGAAUUAUUGUGGGUAUGACUGUUUCUAAUCUGUUAGCUAAAGCUUUGCUUAUUAUUUUUAAAUUACAGUUGAUCAGGCUUAUUGGUCUGUAGCUGGAGGUGAGAGUUGGAUCUUUAUCAGGUUUGAGCAGAACUGAGAUAUGAACUGAAUUCGUGUGUGGGUAUGGUUCCUGAUGAUUUGAUUUCAUUGACCAUUCUGUUGUAAAGGGGAGAUAUGAGGUGCCAGUGGUGUUUUAUAAAAUUCUAUUGGAUAACCAUCUGAACCGGGUGAUUUGUUGUUGGGCAUGGAGAAAAUGGCUUUCCUGAGUUCUUCUGAGUUUAAGGGUCGGUCUAAUAUGGUUGCUUGUUCUUCUGUUAUUUUUGGUAGUUCAAUAUUGUUGAGGAAGGAGUGUCGGAGAUAUUUGUUACAUUGUCUGAGCGGUAGAGAGUUUGAUAGUAGUUACAAAAUAUUGUGUUUAUUUCUUUUGGGUUGUAUAUUAAGUUUCCCUGUGGGUCUUGGAUAGUUGUAAUAACUGAUUUUUCUUUGUUUCUUUUCAGUUGUUUCGGAGAAAUUUACUUGAUUUUUCAUUAUGUUCAAAAUAAUUCAGUCUUGUUCUUUGCAUGAGAAAUUGAGUUUGCUGAUGUAUUAUGUUAUCAAGCUGUGUUUUAACUUUCUCUAUUUCAUUUUUAGUAUGUUCAGUGGGGUUGCAGGAUUGUUGAGAAUGGAGAUGUUUCAGUGUAUGUUCCAGUUCUUGUUGUUUUUCUUGUUCCUUUUUUUUUUCUUGUGGGUGGAGUAUGAGAUGAUAUGGCCCCUGAUGACUGCUUUUGCUGUUUCCCAAAGAACGGAUGGAGUGUGAUACUGAGAGCCCGGAAAUGAACAGAGUGACUGCAGCCAUUACGCCACAUUGGGAGACACUUGAGGCCUCCACAACGACCCACAACCGCUUAGAGCAUCUGUACAAGGUGAGCUUUGACAACGUGACGGCAUA